GUGCUUGCAUAAGCAGCUCAUUUGGUAAAAUUGGAAAGAUACAUAGAAGAUUAGCAAGGCCCCUGCACAAGAAUGACAUGCAAAUUUGGGAAACAUUCUAUAUUUUU
ensembl:snRNA U6 U6 spliceosomal RNA